CAGGGCAACAGCUUGGAUUGAUUACACCAAUGUACCAGAGCUAAAGGAUGUCUCCAUACACCAACUGAGAAAGCAUAAGCUGUGUGAAUGCCACUUCACUCCCGAGAUGUUCCUGAAACCAGGAGCAGAAUCACUUGGAAUGCGCAAAAGACUUAAGUCAACUGCAGUGCCUACUGUGCCUGUUUAUGACCCUACAUUCAGGGAUUUGGUAUCGGAAGUGUUCUACAAAGGGCCUCAACCACCUCAAGGUAUGAUUUAAAUCUUUAUUUAGCUGGAUAUGCAGAAGACCAGCAAUGUUUGGCAGCUGUAACAGCACCAAAACAAUUUGUCGGCUUCCAAGGUAUGGAAAGUGGCUCAUCAUGAAGUGCAGUGCUGUGUUAACUAUUUUUAUGAGACCUUUUCCAGAACCAUGGCUCAUUACCCUUCAAGCGGUCGCCUUUGUAUGCAAUGAAGACCUGCUGCUUUGGGCUGUAAAACUAGGGUGGUAUACCAUGCAUGGGACCUAAUUUUUUUUGUACGUUUCUAGCAGUCAUUCCAGCAAUCCCUUCAGAGCAGUCCACAGAGUCCAUGACAGCAGCAGCUGCUGCUGCCUUAGAAGCAUCUUUGUUGCCCACCGGACUGUCGCUACCUCCUGUGCAUGGUGACCAUACAUACAGCCAACCAAAGCCUGCAUUAG